AAUGGGCGCAAGCCUGAUCCAGCAAUGCCGCGUGCAGGAUGAAGGCCUUCGGGUUGUAAACUGCUCUUGUACGGAACGAAAAGCUCUGGGCUAAUACCUCGGAGUCAUGACGGUACCGUAAGAAUAAGCACCGGCUAACUACGUGCCAGCAGCCGCGGUAAUACGUAGGGUGCGAGCGUUAAUCGGAAUUACUGGGCGUAAAGCGUGCGCAGGCGGUUUUGUAAGACAGUGGUGAAAUCCCCGGGCUCAACCUGGGAACUGCCAUUGUGACUGCAAGGCUGGAGUGCGGCAGAGGGGGAUGGAAUUCCGCGUGUAGCAGUGAAAUGCGUAGAUAUGCGGAGGAACACCGAUGGCGAAGGCAAUCCCCUGGGCCUGCACUGACGCUCAUGCACGAAAGCGUGGGGAGCAAA
rnacentral:rRNA from 1 species